rnacentral:rRNA from 1 species
AUUGAACGCUGGCCGCAUGCCUUACACAUGCAAGUCGAACGGCAGCGCGGACUUCGGUCUGGCGGCGAGUGGCGAACGGGUGAGUAAUACAUCGGAACGUACCCUGUUGUGGGGGAUAACUAGUCGAAAGAUUAGCUAAUACCGCAUACGACCUGAGGGUGAAAGUGGGGGACCGCAAGGCCUCACGCAGCAGGAGCGGCCGAUGUCUGAUUAGCUAGUUGGUGGGGUAAAGGCCCACCAAGGCGACGAUCAGUAGCUAGUCUGAGAGGACGAUCAGCCACACUGGGACUGAGACACGGCCCAGACUCCUACGGGAGGCAGCAGUGGGGAAUUUUGGACAAUGGGGGCAACCCUGAUCCAGCAAUGCCGCGUGUGUGAAGAAGGCCUUCGGGUUGUAAAGCACUUUUGUCCGGAAAGAAAUCGCGCUGGUUAAUACCUGGCGUGGAUGACGGUACCGGAAGAAUAAGCACCGGCUAACUACGUG